UUUCAUUCUUUUUUUUAUGACUGAAUAAUAUUCCUCUCUGUGAGUGUGUGUGUAUGUGUGUGGUGUGUCAGAUCUUUAUCCAUUCAUCUGCUCUAAGUAACAUUGAUGGUUACUUAGGCUGCUUUCAUGUCUUGACUAUUAUAAAUAAUUACAAAUAAUGCUGUUAGAAACACUGAGGUGCAUGUAUCUUUUCAAACUAGUGUUUUAAUUUUCAUAGAUGAGUGUUCUUGUAAGAGAGAGGCAGAGGAAAAUCUGAUAUACAGAGAAGAGGAGGUCAUGUGACCAUGAGAUAGCAAUUAGAGGGAUGUGGCCACAAGCCAAGGAAUGCUGGCAGCCUCCAGAACUUGGAAGGGUCAAAGAAUGGAUUCUCCCUAAGAGCUCCUGAAACAAGUGCAGCCCUUGAUUGCUGUCCAGUGAAAAUGAUUUUGGACUUCCAGCUUCAGGAACUACCUCUGUUGGCCUACUGAAGGGAAAGAGGAAGAAAAAGAGAGUUAAGAAACAUGAUGCAAGCAAGAGAUAAAAGAAAGAAGGAAGAGGGGAAGAAAGAAGAAUCAGGAAAAAAGUGGAGGAGAAAUAAGUCACUGAAUGGUUUAGGUCAUGUGUGAAUUAUACAGGGGGGUGGGGGGAGUUCACAUGACCCCUAAAAUCCACUUCUGUCAAUAUGGUGGAUAUUAAGGCUAUGCUUAAGCCUGGGUCAGAAGAGGAAUUUGUCUUUAAAACUUAUGAUUCAUCCAAUAGUUGUAAUGUGGCUUACUGAAAUUUUUCUCAUCAAGAUCACCACUGACCUCCUUUUGGUUAAAAAACAGUAACCACUUAGUCAUCAAGUUCUUUAACCUGACUUGCCAACUUUCAAGAUCCUGCUCAUAACCCACUUCCUCUACAAAAUCUCCCUUGAUCUGUGUUAUUUUUCCAUUUUCUGAAUUUCUAUUACACUCACAGGAAGUUUUUCUGUUAUUUCUGCCCCUCUAAAAAGAGGCCAGAAAUGCUUACUGCUACCCCAAAAUGUAUAAAACAACCCCCUACAGCAAA